rnacentral:rRNA from 1 species
GUGGGGAAUAUUGGACAAUGGGCGCAAGCCUGAUCCAGCCAUGCCGCGUGAGUGAUGAAGGCCUUAGGGUUGUAAAGCUCUUUUGUCCGGGAAGAUAAUGACUGUACCGGAAGAAUAAGCCCCGGCUAACUUCGUGCCAGCAGCCGCGGUAAUACGAAGGGGGCUAGCGUUGUUCGGAAUCACUGGGCGUAAAGCGCACGUAGGCGGACCAUUAAGUCAGGGGUGAAAGCCUGGAGCUCAACUCCAGAACUGCCUUUGAUACUGAUGGUCUCGAGUAUGGAAGAGGUUGGUGGAACUGCGAGUGUAGAGGUGAAAUUCGUAGAUAUUCGCAAGAACACCGGUGGCGAAGGCGGCCAACUGGUCCAUUACUGACGCUGAGGCGCGAAAGCGUGGGGAGCAAACAGGAUUAGAUACCCUAGUAGUCC